GGGUUGUGAGGUUAAGCGACUAAGCGUACACGGUGGAUGCCCUGGCAGUCAGAGGCGAUGAAGGACGUGCUAAUCUGCGAAAAGCGUCGGUAAGGUGAUAUGAACCGUUAUAACCGGCGAUGUCCGAAUGGGGAAACCCAGUGCAAUUCGUUGCACUAUCGUUAACUGAAUACAUAGGUUAACGAGGCGAACCGGGGGAACUGAAACAUCUAAGUACCCCGAGGAAAAGAAAUCAACCGAGAUUCCCCCAGUAGCGGCGAGCGAACGGGGAGCAGCCCAGAGUCUGAAUCAGCUUGUGUGUUAGUGGAACGGUCUGGAAAGUCCGACGGUACAGGGUGAUAGUCCCGUACACCAAAAUGCACAGGCUGUGAACUCGAAGAGUAGGGCGGGACACGUGGUAUCCUGUCUGAAUAUGGGGGGACCAUCCUCCAAGGCUAAAUACUCCUGACUGACCGAUAGUGAACCAGUACCGUGAGGGAAAGGCGAAAAGAACCCCGGCGAGGGGAGUGAAAAGAACCUGAAACCGUGUACGUACAAGCAGUGGGAGCACCUUCGGGUGUGACUGCGUACCUUUGUAUAAUGGGUCAGCGACUUAUAUUCUGUAGCAAGGUUAACCGUAUAGGGGAGCCGCAGGGAAACCGAGUCUUAACUGGGCGUUAAGUUGCAGGGUAUAGACCCGAAACCCGGUGAUCUAGCCAUGGGCAGGUUGAAGGUUGGGUAACACUAACUGGAGGACCGAACCGACUAAUGUUGAAAAAUUAGCGGAUGACUUGUGGCUGGGGUGAAAGGCCAAUCAAACCGGGAGAUAGCUGGUUCUCCCGAAAGCUAUUUAGGUAGCGCCUCGUGAAUUCAUCUUCGGGGUAGAGCACUGUUUCGGCUAGGGGUCAUCCCGACUUACCAACCCGAUGCAAACUACGAAUACCGAAGAAUGUUAUCACGGGAGACACACGGCGGGUGCUAACGUCCGUCGUGAAGAGGGAAACAACCCAGACCGCCAGCUAAGGUCCCAAAGUCAUGGUUAAGUGGGAAACGAUGUGGGAAGGCACAGACAGCCGGAUGUUGGCUUAGAAGCAGCCAUCAUUUAAAGAAAGCGUAAUAGCUCACUGGUCGAGUCGGCCUGCGCGGAAGAUGUAACGGGGCUAAACCAUGCACCGAAGCUGCGGCAGCGACACUAUGUGUUGUUGGGUAGGGGAGCGUUCUGUAAGCCUGCGAAGGUGUGCUGUGAGGCAUGCUGGAGGUAUCAGAAGUGCGAAUGCUGACAUAAGUAACGAUAAAGCGGGUGAAAAGCCCGCUCGCCGGAAGACCAAGGGUUCCUGUCCAACGUUAAUCGGGGCAGGGUGAGUCGACCCUAAGGCGAGGCCGAAAGGCGUAGUCGAUGGGAAACAGGUUAAUAUUCCUGUACUUGGUGUUACUGCGAAGGGGACGGAGAAGGCUAUGUUAGCCGGGCGACGGUUGUCCCGGUUUAAGCAUGUAGGCUGGUUAUCCAGGCAAAUCCGGAUAAUCAAGGCUGAGGUGUGAUGACGAGGCACUACGGUGCUGAAGUAACAAAUGCCCUGCUUCCAGGAAAAGCCUCUAAGCAUCAGGUAACAUCAAAUCGUACCCCAAACCGACACAGGUGGUCAGGUAGAGAAUACCAAGGCGCUUGAGAGAACUCGGGUGAAGGAACUAGGCAAAAUGGUGCCGUAACUUCGGGAGAAGGCACGCUGGUGUGUAGGUGAAGUCCCUGCGGAUGGAGCUGAGACCAGUCGAAGAUACCAGCUGGCUGCAACUGUUUAUUAAAAACACAGCACUGUGCAAACACGAAAGUGGACGUAUACGGUGUGACGCCUGCCCGGUGCCGGAAGGUUAAUUGAUGGGGUUAUCCGUAAGGAGAAGCUCUUGAUCGAAGCCCGGUAAACGGCGGCCGUAACUAUAACGGUCCUAAGGUAGCGAAAUUCCUUGUCGGGUAAGUUCCGACCUGCACGAAUGGCGUAAUGAUGGCGAGGCUGUCUCCACCCGAGACUCAGUGAAAUUGAACUCGCUGUGAAGAUGCAGUGUACCCGCGGCAAGACGGAAAGACCCCGUGAACCUUUACUAUAGCUUGACACUGAACAUUGAGCCUUGAUGUGUAGGAUAGGUGGGAGGCUUUGAAGCGUGGACGCCAGUCUGCGUGGAGCCAACCUUGAAAUACCACCCUUUAAUGUUUGAUGUUCUAACGUUGGCCCUUACCGGGGUUGCGGACAGUGUCUGGUGGGUAGUUUGACUGGGGCGGUCUCCUCCCAAAGCGUAACGGAGGAGCACGAAGGUUAGCUAAUCCUGGUCGGACAUCAGGAGGUUAGUGCAAUGGCAUAAGCUAGCUUGACUGCGAGCGUGACGGCGCGAGCAGGUGCGAAAGCAGGUCAUAGUGAUCCGGUGGUUCUGAAUGGAAGGGCCAUCGCUCAACGGAUAAAAGGUACUCCGGGGAUAACAGGCUGAUACCGCCCAAGAGUUCAUAUCGACGGCGGUGUUUGGCACCUCGAUGUCGGCUCAUCACAUCCUGGGGCUGAAGUAGGUCCCAAGGGUAUGGCUGUUCGCCAUUUAAAGUGGUACGCGAGCUGGGUUUAGAACGUCGUGAGACAGUUCGGUCCCUAUCUGCCGUGGGCGCUGGAGAAUUGAGGGGGGCUGCUCCUAGUACGAGAGGACCGGAGUGGACGCAUCACUGGUGUUCGGGUUGUCAUGCCAAUGGCACUGCCCGGUAGCUAAAUGCGGAAGAGAUAAGUGCUGAAAGCAUCUAAGCACGAAACUUGCCCCGAGAUGAGUUCUCCUGAGACUUUAAGUCUCCUGAAGGAACGUUAAAGACGAUGACGUUGAUAGGCCGGGUGUGUAAGCGCAGCGAUGCGUUGAGCUAACCGGUACUAAUGAACCGUGAGGCUUAACCUUACAACGCCGAAG
rnacentral:rRNA from 1 species